AUUGAACGCUGGCGGAAUGCUUUACACAUGCAAGUCGAACGGCAGCACGGGGGCAACCCUGGUGGCGAGUGGCGAACGGGUGAGUAAUACAUCGGAACGUGCCCGGUCGUGGGGGAUAACGUAGCGAAAGUUACGCUAAUACCGCAUACGAUCUGAGGAUGAAAGCGGGGGACCUUCGGGCCUCGCGCGAUCGGAGCGGCCGAUGUCAGAUUAGGUAGUUGGUGGGGUAAAGGCCUACCAAGCCGACGAUCUGUAGCUGGUCUGAGAGGACGACCAGCCACACUGGGACUGAGACACGGCCCAGACUCCUACGGGAGGCAGCAGUGGGGAAUUUUGGACAAUGGGCGCAAGCCUGAUCCAGCCAGUCCGCGUGCAGGACGAAGGCCUUCGGGUUGUAAACUGCUUUUGUAUGGAACGAAAAGGCUCUGGCUAAUACCUGGGGCUCAUGACGGUACCGGAAGAAUAAGCACCGGCUAACUACGUG
rnacentral:rRNA from 1 species